rnacentral:lncRNA from 1 species
CUCUGUGCCUGCCAGCUUGCCUGCCUGUCUGCCUGCAGAGUUGCAGUGCGGAGUAUCAUUGCAGCGCUUUUUCAGGGAGUAACGUGCUGCACUGGUUCGGGCUUUGUCUUUAUUCACAACACAUUCGUGUGCCUCAGCAGGGGUGGGGACUGCACUGUUGCCUGCCAGCCUGUCCUCUUUGACUGUCUGCUGAAUAAUCGAGUGAAAACUCUCCAUUAGAGGGAGAGAGAGAGAGAAAGAGGAGAGAGAGAGAGAGAGAGAGAGAGAGAGAGAGAGAGAGAGAAGGAAGAGAGGAGCACAUUGAGAUACAGAGGAAGAAAGACCACGCAAAAAGAAGAGGGGUGGAGAGGGGAGAGAAGGGGAGAAACGGAUGCUGUCUGGCGCGCUCAUAUAUUAGGGCUCUGGCAGGAGGCUGCAGGAGCAGCAUCAGCAAGCUUUCAGGCAGUGAUUCUAACUGUUGCCCGUGAACACCAUGGUCAGGAUGACUUUGAAGAGGCAAUUGAUUACUUAUGCAUAGAACACUCUAGCUCUGCUAAAACUAGGAAAUCAGACACCCCCUUGUUUUCUAAUUUAGAGACUUGCGUCUUUCGAGCCUCAACACUUUCAAGACACUCUGCUUCAGUAUUUUCUGUAACAACUGUUCACUGGAGCAGAUUUUGA